rnacentral:rRNA from 1 species
GAUGAACGCUGGCGGCGUGCUUAACACAUGCAAGUCGAACGAUGAAGCCCAGCUUGCUGGGUGGAUUAGUGGCGAACGGGUGAGUAACACGUGAGUAACCUGCCCUUAACUCUGGGAUAAGCCUGGCAAACUGGGUCUAAUACCGGAUAGGAGCGUCCACCGCAUGGUGGGUGUUGGAAAGAUUUAUCGGUUUUGGAUGGACUCGCGGCCUAUCAGCUUGUUGGUGAGGUAAUGGCUCACCAAGGCGACGACGGGUAGCCGGCCUGAGAGGGUGACCGGCCACACUGGGACUGAGACACGGCCCAGACUCCUACGGGAGGCAGCAGUGGGGAAUAUUGCACAAUGGGCGAAAGCCUGAUGCAGCGACGCCGCGUGAGGGAUGACGGCCUUCGGGUUGUAAACCUCUUUCAGUAGGGAAGAAGCGAAAGUGACGGUACCUGCAGAAGAAGCACCGGCUAACUACGUGC